rnacentral:lncRNA from 1 species
UGGGAAAAACUCUUAGUGUUUUAAUAACUAAAAACAAUGAACGUUUUUGGCUUUCUCAGCCAUCUUCAGGUUUCUGCUCUAGAAUACAUUCAUUUUUUAAAAAUUUAUCAGAACAUUCUGAUAAAUUUUAAAAGAAUGAAUAAGAAGAUCACUUACAAAAAAUAUCCAACACUAUACGGACAGCUCUGUAAUGAAAAGGGCAAAAUACAACCUGGAUAUAGGACAGGAGUUUACAAAAUAUCAAUAUAGAACAACACCACUGAAGAAGAAAAGGUCUACAUACGUGUAACUAACAGAGUCCUUAGCCAAAGGCUAAAUGAACACAAGAAAGACUUGGAGAAGGGGAAAACCAGCACAGCCUUAGCUCUAGCAGCUUACGAGAAUGAUAUAACAGUGAAUUGGCAAGCAGCAAGAGUGGUUAGAUUGUUUGAGAAAGAAAGGCACGCCUUCAUCACUGAAGCCAUGGAGAUGUAUGCUACCAAAACGAAAGAAAAACUCAACAAUCAUCCAUCCCAAAAACUCCCGCACCCAUGGAAAUACCUUUUGGCUAAAAAAUUGCCUUAAAAGAAGUUAAUAAAAUACAUAUUGUUAUCCCAUCUUAGAAAGCCUAAACUUCCCCUAGUAAUAUAAUAUUGACUUAGCUUUUAAUGAAAUUAUUGUUAUAAAAAUUUCAAAUCGUAGACACUGCCAAUAACGAAU